rnacentral:tRNA from 2 species
GGGGGUAUAGCUCAGUGGUAGAGCAUUUGACUGCUGAUCAAGAGGUUCCUGGUUCAACUGUGGGUGCCCCCU